UUUUACCAAAUAGCCAUGACUUCUGUUCUCUCCACUGCCGCUCUCUCUUCUACGUUUACUAGCAGCAAAUGUUGAAUCUGAGAAAACUGAAGCUAUCAAAAUAGUUUUAAUUGACGCAAAUUCCAAACAGAUAAGAACAUCUGGACUUAACCCUUUGGUGAUUUUAUUGGUGGCGUAAAGGAUUUAACCCUUUGGCAUGUCUGAUUCUUUUUCUGGUGCUUCUGGUUGUGCUGCUAAUAUGUUGAUAUAUGGAAGGCUAUGAUCAUAAAUGUUUGCAGGAAUUUCUUGAGUAAAUCAGG
rnacentral:lncRNA from 1 species